rnacentral:rRNA from 1 species
AGAGUUUGAUCCUGGCUCAGGAUGAACGCUGGCGGCGCGCCUAACACAUGCAAGUCGAAUGGCACCUAUCUUCGGAUAGAAGCGAGUGGCGAACGGCUGAGUAACACGUGGAGAACCUGCCCCCUCCCCCGGGAUAGCCGCCCGAAAGGACGGGUAAUACCGGAUACCCCGGGGUGCCGCAUGGCACCCCGGCUAAAGCCCCGACGGGAGGGGAUGGCUCCGCGGCCCAUCAGGUAGACGGCGGGGUGACGGCCCACCGUGCCGACAACGGGUAGCCGGGUUGAGAGACCGACCGGCCAGAUUGGGACUGAGACACGGCCCAGACUCCUACGGGAGGCAGCAGUGGGGAAUCUUGCGCAAUGGGGGGAACCCUGACGCAGCGACGCCGCGUGCGGGACGGAGGCCUUCGGGUCGUAAACCGCUUUCAGCAGGGAAGAGUCAAGACUGUACCUGCAGAAGAAGCCCCGGCUAACUACGUGCCAGCAGCCGCGGUAAUACGUAGGGGGCGAGCGUUAUCCGGAUUCAUUGGGCGUAAAGCGCGCGUAGGCGGCCCGGCAGGCCGGGGGUCGAAGCGGGGGGCUCAACCCCCCGAAGCCCCCGGAACCUCCGCGGCUUGGGUCCGGUAGGGGAGGGUGGAACACCCGGUGUAGCGGUGGAAUGCGCAGAUAUCGGGUGGAACACCGGUGGCGAAGGCGGCCCUCUGGGCCGAGACCGACGCUGAGGCGCGAAAGCUGGGGGAGCGAACAGGAUUAGAUACCCUGGUAGUCCCAGCCGUAAACGAUGGACGCUAGGUGUGGGGGGACGAUCCCCCCCGUGCCGCAGCCAACGCAUUAAGGUCCCCGCCUGGGGAGUACGGCCGCAAGGCUAAAACUCAAAGGAAUUGACGGGGGCCCGCACAAGCAGCGGAGCAUGUGGCUUAAUUCGAGGCAACGCGAAGAACCUUACCAGGGGCUUGACAUAUGGGUGAAGCGGGGGAGACCCCGUGGCCGAGAGGAGCCCAUACAGGUGGUGCAUGGCUGUCGUCAGCUCGUGUCGUGAGAUGUUGGGUUAAGUCCCGCAACGAGCGCAACCCCCGCCGCGUGUUGCCAUCGGGUGAUGCCGGGAACCCACGCGGGACCGCCGCCGUCAAGGCGGAGGAGGGCGGGGACGACGUCAAGUCAUCAUGCCCCUUAUGCCCUGGGCUGCACACGUGCUACAAUGGCCGGUACAGAGGGAUGCCACCCCGCGAGGGGGAGCGGAUCCCGGAAAGCCGGCCCCAGUUCGGAUUGGGGGCUGCAACCCGCCCCCAUGAAGUCGGAGUUGCUAGUAAUCGCGGAUCAGCAUGCCGCGGUGAAUGCGUUCCCGGGCCUUGCACUCACCGCCCGUCA